rnacentral:rRNA from 1 species
UACGGAGGGGGCUAGCGUUGUUCGGAAUUACUGGGCGUAAAGCGCACGUAGGCGGAUCAGAAAGUCAGAGGUGAAAUCCCAGGGCUCAACCUUGGAACUGCCUUUGAAACUGCUGAUCUUGAGGUCGGGAGAGGGUAGUGGAAUUCCCAGUGUAGAGGUGAAAUUCGUAGAUAUUGGGAAGAAAACCGGUGGCGAAGGCGGCGACCUGGAUCGCAACUGACGCUGAGGCGCGAAAGCGUGGGGAGCAAACAGG